GACGAACGCUGGCGGCGUGCUUAACACAUGCAAGUCGAACGGAAAGGCCCUGCUUUUGUGGGGUGCUCGAGUGGCGAACGGGUGAGUAACACGUGAGUAACCUGCCCUUGACUUUGGGAUAACUUCAGGAAACUGGGGCUAAUACCGGAUAGGAGCUCCUGCUGCAUGGUGGGGGUUGGAAAGUUUCGGCGGUUGGGGAUGGACUCGCGGCUUAUCAGCUUGUUGGUGGGGUAGUGGCCUACCAAGGCUUUGACGGGUAGCCGGCCUGAGAGGGUGACCGGCCACAUUGGGACUGAGAGACGGCCCAGACUCCUACGGGAGGCAGCAGUGGGGAAUAUUGCACAAUGGGCGGAAGCCUGAUGCAGCAACGCCGCGUGCGGGAUGACGGCCUUCGGGUUGUAAACCGCUUUCGCCUGUGACGAAGCGUGAGUGACGGUAAUGGGUAAAGAAGCACCGGCUAACUACGUG
rnacentral:rRNA from 1 species